CGCCCCCGCGGGGCCGAGGCCCGUGCCCAGCGCUGCCCCUGCGGUCGAGGGCGGCCCCCGCCCAGGUCGCGGGGAGGUCUCCUGCAGCAGUCGAGGUUUUCCUGGCAUGCAGCACGUGCUAGCCCGUCGUGUCACGUUUAUUCCCAUUUUAGGGAUUCGGCAACUGAGGCCGGGGUGUGCAGCGCAGGCAGGGUUAUCAGUGGGCCUUUGCGGCGCCCCCCCUUUGCCCCUUCGCAUCCCUAAGGCUUAGCUAGCGCAGCGCCCCGGGGACGGCCCCAAGCGAUCACUCUUUCCAGCCGGGCGGCACGAUCGUGACCACGGGAAGGCGGCCGUGAAGCAGCGUCUCCUGACGGAUGAUGGCACAGCGCGACUCGCUUUUUCACCCCUACGCCGCCCAGGACUUACAUCACUCACUUCAUCCAGCCGCAGCAAAGCACAGGCGUCCAGCAUCAGAGUUCAAGGAAAGCCCUAGUGACACCACAUCUGCAGAAGGGUGACAUGUAGUGUCAGCCGCUCUAAAUUAAGACUGGUGAUACCACCAGCAGCACAAGACCACUCGGUACAACACAGGGGCCUGGCUUCAGACUUGCCCCCAGGAAACGGGGCCGAGAUAUGUUACGUUGGUGCUCUAUAAAUACUUCAAAUAGAUUAUAGAGACCCAUCAAGUGACACGGUGACCCAUCUCAUUUCAGUAUGAGGAGAACGGAAGAUAAUUGCGGCAUAGAAAGAAUGGUCCUGUGGCGGCCGGACAAGAACAACUUUCAGAUUCUUUUGAUCAUCUCUGCGUCCGGGUUCUGCAGCCUGUCCUGUGAACCUCUCCUUUCCUCCCCGUGUACCCUUGCUGUGAGAGUGCUAUUAUGUUGGUCUCCCAAAUGUCCUGACUGGUGGUGUUAUGUGGGGAUGUGCCAUAGCGGGAUGUAUUGCUUAUGCCAUGUUUGUGUGUGUCAUGUUAGAGCCGUUAACGUAAUGGGCUGUGACUGCAGCCUGACAGGAUGCGUCAUGCUUAAAUAAAUCCACUCGGAGUUUCAAAGUAACCGGGUGUCUGCUAAAUAUUACAGUGCAGUCCAGGAUAUUCUCAGGAUAUCCUGUUCAUAGUGGCCAAGCGCAGUGAGAAUCCACUUGGCCCACUCCAUAAUGGCAUGAGCAAUACUGAAGAGGCUUUAGACUAGAUGAGAAGGGUUGCAAUGAACAGGAAAGGACUUUAUCGCUCAGUGGGGUUGAGAAAGGAGUGGGUGGGUGGAAGCAGCUCAGGGAGACCCUUGCCACGUUGCAGAGUCCUGCAAGCAGAGGAGUGGAAAGGCUGAAGGUGACUAACACAAUGACACUGGGAGGAAACUUGCUAUAGUUAUCCAUCCUCCAUCAUUUUCUCUUUCCACCCUGCAUCAUUUGGGAACAAAGUGCUAGUGGCCAUUGCUGCCAGCUGUCCAUCCUGAACGGGAGCAAGGGUUGGGAGAAGAACAGACUCGCUGGCUGGGGAAGCUGAACAUAACAUGACUGCAGCGUGACCAACA
rnacentral:lncRNA from 1 species